CGGGGCGUAGCGCAGGGGGUAGCGCGCACGGUUCGGGACCGUGAGGUCGCUGGUUCAAAUCCAGUCGCCCCGACCA
rnacentral:tRNA from 1 species